GGGGGAAACGUGUUGAAACUCGACUCUCUUUUUUUUUCUGUGUGUGUGCAAAAGGCAGCAAUAAAUGUUGGCGAAACCGGUUGCCAUACGUCAAUAACACCACCAUAACAUCGGUUCGCCAUAUUAUGAUUCUUGCCAGUGGUGCUGGAUGCUUUUUUCGAUCACAACAGCUUGUUUCAGCUGUUCCAAGUGUUGAAACAUUCCUUAUUCAAGUACUUAGGAGGGGUGCUCAUUACAAAACAAGAGCUUAUCACGGUGCCAUAAUGGUGUGCUUGCACAAUUGAAAAUUUCUGUUCUGUGGUGGCAACGUGUGGUUGAAGUAUGUGCCCAACAUUAAAAAAAUGUAAACAGAAAAAGGGUUGGUCAUUCCAAACGUCAAAAGUGCUGGUUUGUGGAAAAUAUACCAAUUUUCUGCCAUUUCGUCACUCUCUACCCAGUAUGUUUGGACAAUGGAAGCAUUGUUCACUCAGACUGCUCCAGAUCAAUGUCAGGCAAUGUCACAGGAUUAUGUAAUUAUUUGGCUGUGAUGUUUCAUUGUACAGCUAAAUUAGAUUACAUGCUUACUGUGAAAGAGAUCAAGUAUCUAUUACCGAACCUGGGUCUCUCCGUUCGCGACAUCAGACUUCUCCAGUGUGCCGUUCUGACGCAGACCUCCUGAAAAGAAGUUGGAACGUUUUGAACUGUCUCGGGCCAAAGAUCAAGUCCUAAGUCUGUUUU